rnacentral:rRNA from 1 species
UAGGGAAUCUUCCACAAUGGGCGCAAGCCUGAUGGAGCAACACCGCGUGAGUGAAGAAGGGUUUCGGCUCGUAAAGCUCUGUUGUAAGAGAAGAACGUGUGUGAGAGUGGAAAGUUCACACAGUGACGGUAACUUACCAGAAAAGGACGGCUAACUACGUCGCCAG